rnacentral:rRNA from 1 species
GCGGAGGAAAAGAAACCAACAGGGAUUGCCCUAGUACGGCGAGUGAAGCGGCAACAGCUCAAAUUUGAAAGCUGGCCUUUCGGGUCCGCAUUGUAAUUUGUAGAGGAUGCUUUGGGUAAAACGCCCAGUCUAAGUUCCUUGGAACAGGACGUCAUAGAGGGUGAGAAUCCCGUAUGUGACUGGAAAUGUUAACCUAUGUAAAGCUCCUUCGACGAGUCGAGUUGUUUGGGAAUGCAGCUCUAAAUGGGAGGUAAAUUUCUUCUAAAGCUAAAUAUUGGCGAGAGACCGAUAGCGCACAAGUAGAGUGAUCGAAAGAUGAAAAGCACUUUGGAAAGAGAGUUAAAAAGCACGUGAAAUUGUUGAAAGGGAAGCGCUUGCAAUCAGACUUGUUUAAACUGUUCGGCCGGUCUUCUGACCGGUUUACUCAGUUUGGACAGGCCAGCAUCAGUUUCGGCGGCCGGAUAAAGGCUCUGGGAAUGUGGCCUCCACUUCGGUGGAGGUGUUAUAGCCCAGUGUGUAAUACGGCCAGCCGGGACUGAGGUCCGCGCUUCGGCUAGGAUGCUGGCGUAAUGGUUGUAAGCGACCCGU